GACGAACGCUGGCGGCGUGCUUAACACAUGCAAGUCGAACGGAAAGGCUCCAGCUUGCUGGAGUACUCGAGUGGCGAACGGGUGAGUAACACGUGGGUAAUCUGCCCUGCACUCUGGGAUAAGCCUGGGAAACUGGGUCUAAUACUGGAUAUGACCUUUCUCCUUAUGGGGUUUGGUGGAAAGUUUUUCGGUGUAGGAUGAGCCCGCGGCCUAUCAGCUUGUUGGUGGGGUGAUGGCCUACCAAGGCGUCGACGGGUAGCCGGCCUGAGAGGGUGAUCGGCCACAUUGGGACUGAGAUACGGCCCAGACUCCUACGGGAGGCAGCAGUGGGGAAUAUUGCACAAUGGGCGGAAGCCUGAUGCAGCGACGCCGCGUGAGGGAUGACGGCCUUCGGGGUGUAAACCUCUUUCAGCAGGGACGAAGCGUAAGUGACGGUACCUGCAGAAGAAGCACCGGCUAACUAUGUG
rnacentral:rRNA from 1 species